ACCUUUGGGAAGUUCCCAGGUGUGGCCCUAAAAAGACAGAGAGACAAAAAAAAAAAAACAGAUAUUAACACUGAAUAUUUCCCAGUUCACAUGAACCUAAAAUUAAUUCUGUCCAGUUACCUUCAACAUUUGAGAAUAUAUAUAAGCACUUAAUUUUUAAGUCAGUUAAGUAGAGCCCAUUGACAAAUUAAUUUGGAUAAUACCAUCCAAAAGUAAGGACAUAUACCUAAUGCACACAGAUACAUAGACACACACAACCAGAAAUCUCAAAGCUUCAUUUUCUAAACAUAGUCACGAAUCAGGUAUUACAAUAUAGAACUCACUUGUUUAUAAAAGUCUUUUUUUUUUUUUUCCCCCCCCUCCCUUCAGUCCCAGGAAUUAGAGGUGACCUAGACAAGCAAUCCUGAGAGCCCAGGUCUCAAGGCACAGGGUGAGAAAAGCAAGUUCUCUUAAAGGAUUUGUUCCCUCAAGGUCAGGAUUCUGAAAAGACGUUUUAUCAAGCUUGCUUUUUCUUACUGUAUAUGCAAAAAGAAGCAGUUUGGGAAUUUUCAAGAGUUUCACCUAAACCAGUUUUCUCUGGAGUCUAAAAAUAUUGUGGCCCUACAGUGUUAAAGCAUCUUUUUCUCAGUCUUAGGCUCAUAACUAAAAUCUACCCUGUCAGGCAGAAUUCAUCCAAGAGGGCAACACAGGGGAACAGAACUACAAUUUCCCAUUUCACAAGGCAGAACUGUCAUCUCAAAGACAACACAGAACCUAAGGUGCAAAACACACAGGAAAGGCUGUCCUAGUCAGACACUCCUUAAAUACAAUAUUGCAGUCUCUCAUUAAACCUGCAGAGACACGGAACUUCAGAUCAGAGUACAGUUGCCGAAAAUCAGCCAGUGCUCUUUACUUCUGCAGCAGGGUAUGGCUACUCAAAGGCACACAGAGACAGAGUUUGGGGUGAAGCAUAAGAAAAUUAGCUUUAUUGUUUUGCCAGGCAAAGAAGGUCACAGCGCUACCGCCCUGAAGACUGUGCUGGCCUUGGGGAGAGAAUAGGAGGUGGUUUUAUAGUGUGGGGGGUAGAAAAUAGGGCCACAGAUAAGGAUGGAGUAGAGGCAAGCUUUCAUUCUUAUUCAAAGCUGCUGUUUAGUGGCCCCAGGACUGAUUUUGGUGGUCCUCCUCUCUGGUUGUCCUUUGCUGGGGGUUUUAGCUCAGCAGAAAAGCUUGAAGAUAUUGUUAUGUAUAUUCCUUCAAAAGGAACCAGGAUCCUGCCUGAGGCUGCACUAUUGUUUCUUGAGGGCUCCUCCCUGGUCUCCGCCGUCUCCGCAUCCCCUCCCUUCCCUGAUUAGCAACUGCUUGAACCUGCCCUGUGGAACUCAGGAAAGGUCUUGGAGGCUGAAGCUUAUUCCCUAAAAACAAGAAAUUGGGGACACCGAAAGGCUUGUUCCUAGGAGUCCCACAUGGCCUUGCUCAGUUUCAGUACUAACAAAGAGUAAGUGAACUAUCUUGGGUUUUCAAAGGUUUCAAAGGGAGGAAAAGAGGCCAGAUUGAGGGUGGAUUGGAACCUUGGGGUUAAUAGAUGCAAACUAUCGCCUUUGCAAUGGAUAAGCAAUGAGCUCCUGCUGUAUAGCACUGGGAACUUUGUCUAGUCACUUAUGAUGGAGCAUGAUAAUGUGAGAAAAAAGAAUCUAUACAUGUAUGUGUAACUGGGUCACCUUGCUGUACAGUAAAAAAAAAAAAAAAAAAACUGUAUUGGGGAAAUAACUUUCUUGUUGUUGUUGUUGUUGUUGUCUUUUUGCCAUUUUCUUGGGCCACUCCCAUGGCAUAUAGAGGUUCCCAGGCUAGGGGUCGAAUCAGAGCUGUAGCCGCAGGCCUACACCAGAGCCACAGCAAUGCAGGAGUCUGCAACCUACACCACAGCUCAGGGCAAUGCUGGAUCCUUAACCCACUGAGCAAGGUCAGGGAUUGAACCUGCAAUCUCAUGGUUCCUAGUCAGAUUCAUUAACCACUGAGCCACGAUGGGAACUCCCGUAUUGGGGAAAUAACUUUUUUUAAAAAUUUAAAUUAAAAAAUAAAUAAAAUAUAUGACAGAUCUUUUUGACCAAAAAAAAAAAAAAAAAAAAAAAAAAAAAAAAAAANAAAAAAGAAAGAAAGAAAGAAAAGAGGCCAAACCUAGAGGAGAGGAGGGAAAAAAGGGGUGGCCUGAUGGACAUCUCCCACCACCUGCAGAUGGCCAGGAGUUACAGGACUUUUCCCUGGGCUUCAGAAAGGGGGGCAGGAACUCGGCCCAACCAGAAACACAAUAGAGAAUUCAGAAUCCGAGUUCUCUGCUACCAGAGGUGAUAGCCUUACAGCCCUCAGAAAACUGAGGCCAUCCCCCCAGGCUCGUGCAUCUAGAAGAAAGAAAGGAGGAUCACUGGAGAAUUAAAAUGAUCAUCAGUGUUGGAAAGUGAGACACACGAACACAGGGAGAUCUUGACAAGGCUCUUUACUUCUGCAGAAGGGGCACGGCUACUCAAAAAGCACGUACAUGCAAGAGGGAGACCCUCCCUAUUUACACCUAAUGCAGGUGGUAUACCUGUCCCCUUCCCAUUGGUCAGGUUAGGGCACAUACUCUUCUCGGUUGGCUAAUUGAAACAAACUGUUGCUGGGAGAAGAGUGAGGAGGAGGGAGUUGAAGGAAGGCAUCUGAGCCGAAACCAGAGCAAAAUGGAGUAAACAAGAUUUCCUUUGAUAGAAAAGACAUGUUACUUUCCACAGGAUGGAGUUCCCACCAUAUCGCAAUGGGAUCGGCAGCAUCUCUGCAGCCCUAGGAUGCAGGUUCAACCUCUGGUCUGGCCCAGUGGGCUAAGGAUCUAGCGUUGCCACAGCUGUAGCUUAGGUUGCAGAUGCAGUUCAAAUCUGAUCCCUGGCCCAGGAGCCCCAUAUGCUAUGGGGAGGCCAAAAAAGGAAAAAAAGGGGUGGGGGAGGGUAAGAUAGGUAGGGCUUGGAAAGAGAAAAGGGAGAGGAAAGAGGACAAGGUCAACAAUGCUUCUUGUCCCUUACCUGGUCAGAGCACUCUGGCCAGUCGUCUACAUCAGGAGGAGACCAGAGACAAAAGCGUCCUGGUAGUGGCCACUGGGUCUGGCCCGUGGGUGGGCAAGCUGGUCCCCGAGUGAUCAGGAUGUCAGUUGUAGUGAAGAAGGUGCCUCACCAGAGCCACCAGCUGUUACAGGAAGGGGGACCCAUUCCAGGGCCCGAGUGUGGGCUCUUGUCUAACACUUGGAAAUGAAUUGUCCCAGGAGAUACCUGUGCCAACAGAGCAAGAGACUUUAUUGGGAAAGGGCCCCUUGGUGGAAGGAACCCAGGAGAACUGCUCUGCCACGUGGCUCAGAAUCUCUAGUUGUACGGGAAUGGGGGUUAUUUUCGGUGGCGCUUGCGUACUUCUCAGCCAAGAUGGAUUCCAGCACCAAGGAUCCUGGGAGGUUGGUCGUCUCCUCCUUCCUACUGGGCCCUCCCAAAUCCUCAGUCUUCAGGGCAGCACCCAGUUCCUUCUCAGGGCCUCCUGCUGUGAGACAGCUCAUGGAAGCAGCUAUUACUCGGUUUCAGCCAAUGCUCUAAUAGAAGCCCAAUAAAAUGCCCUACAGACAGGGGCAUGACUUUCUCAGUCAGCCAGGGCACUCACACCACCAGACAUCACUCAAGCAAUGCUGCCUUUUUUUUUUUAAUUAUUAUUAUUGUCUUUUGUUUUUUCUAGGGCCACACCUGUGGCACAUGUAGGUUCCCAGGCUAGGGGUCCAAUUGGAGCUGUAGCUGCCAGCCUACACCAGAGCCACAGCAGUGCCAGAUCUGAGCUGUGUCUAUGACCUACACCACAGCUCACAGCAACGCCAGAUCCUUAACCCACCGAGUGAGGCCAGGGAUCCAACCCGCCACCUCAUGAUUCCUAGUUGGAUUUAUUUCCACUGUGCCACGAUGGGAACUCCCUUUUUUUUUUUUUAAAUGAGAGUCGCAACAUUUAUUUCAGGUUCUCGCUCUUUUUUUUUUUUUUUUUUCUUUUUUGCCACACAGGCAGUAUG
rnacentral:lncRNA from 1 species